AAACUGGGAGACUUGAGUGCAGAAAGAGGAAAGUGGAAUUCCCAUGUGUAGCGGUGAAAUGCGUAGAGAUAUGGAGGAACACCCAGUGGGCGAAGGCGACUUUCUGGUCUGUAACUGACACUGAGGGCGCGAAAGCGUGGGGGAGCAAACAGGAUUAGAUACCCUGGUAGUCCACGCCGUAAACGAUGAGUGCUAAGUGUUAGAGGGUUUCCGCCCUUUAGUGCUGAAGUUAACGCAUUAAGCACUCCGCCUGGGGAGUACGGCCGCAAGGCUGAAACUCAAAGGAAUUGACGGGGGCCCGCACAAGCGGUGGAGCAUGUGGUUUAAUUUGAAGCAACGCGAAGAACCUUACCAGGUCUUGACAUCCUUUGACAACCCUAGAGAUAGGGCUUCUCCUUCGGGAGCAGAGUGACAGGUGGUGCAUGGUUGUUGUCAGCUUGUGUCGUGAGAUGUUGGGUUAAGUCCCGCAACGAGCGCAACCCUUGAUUUUAGUUGCCAUCAUUUAGUUGGGCCCUUUAAGGUGACUGCCGGUGACAAACCGGAGGAAGGUGGGGAUGACGUCAAAUCAUCAUGCCCCUUAUGACCUGGGCUACCCCCGUGCUACAAUGGACGGUACAAAGAGCUGCAAGACCGCGAGGUGGAGCUAAUUUCAUAAAACCGUUUUCAGUUCGGAUUGUAGGCUGCAACUCGCCUACAUGAAGCUGGAAUCGCUAGUAAUCGCGGAUCAGCAUGCCGCGGUGAAUACGUUCCCGGGCCUUGUACCCCCCGCCCGUCACCCCCCGAGAGUUUGUAACCCCCGAAGUCGGUGGGGUAACCUUUUGGA
rnacentral:rRNA from 1 species